UAGUAUUGAUCUAUCAUUAUGGGUGUCUUAACCUCUGAAACUUGGAUGUUGGAGAACAUGAUGUUUUGCACGGAACCUGAGCCUCCCUGCAGGGUCAACGGUGGAUCCCAUCCGUGUUGGGGCUGUCUCCUGGGGAAGAAAUAGUGAUGCCAGAGACCUGAACAUUUGUACAGGCGUCGAACUUCAGGUGGGUCUGUUGGCUGUUCUGUAUAGUUAUGCCGGUGACUGUUACAUCACUACUACCGUAAAACCGGACUGCCUGCAAGUCAGACAUGCAAAUUUCCAUUAGUUUUGUGAAUAGAGAGCAGCAGUUUGAACAUGAAGAAAGUAGAUAAUUACAGUGGGUUUGGUACUUGGCAUUUUGCUCAGCUCAGAGCUCAUCUGCAACAUGCCCAAAGAAGAGAAUCAUCAGUAUCCAUAUGCAAAAUGGUUUGAUCCUAUGCUUCUUGUCUGGAGCCUGUGAUAUGUCAGUACUUACUGUAUCAUUGGUAGUAGCAGUUGAAUUAUCGGCCAUGGAGGUUUCUAAAUCUGAUUCCUCUGUUGUAACCUCAUCGGUCAUGUCAUUCCACCACACAGAGCCGUGUCCAUCGACGAUACCCUUCCCUCUGAUGGUUAUCUUUUUUAGCUUUGUGAACUCAAUCCAUUGCAGGAGGCCUGAUCCCCAAUCAGAUGAGGUUGUAGGAGCAAUUAUCUUGCCAUCAAGCUUCACAAAAAUGUUUAUUACUUGCCAAUUGCUCUCGUUGGGUUAGAUAUCUAUUGGCAUUAAUUAAGUGUCAUGUAAUUUACCUGGAAAACAAUGUCUGCUUCACAGUUAGGGCCCGAGAAAGAGAUGGGCUUGACGAGAAAUACGGACCCAGAGGGGACUUCAAGUGUUGAUGCUGCCACUUUGCAAGCUGCUGCCCAUGCUGCUUGAAAUGCCUGCCAUUGCACGACUGGGGUAUGGGUUGAGAGGACUAGAGGGCCUUGACUACUUCAGUUUAUCCAGUUUCUAUUGCACAAUUCCAUAAUAUCCUGCGGUUAGCAUAGGACUGAUGCCAGACCCACCAAGCCUAAGGAAAAAAGUGCUCUAUGGCGCAUAUGGUGAUUUAGCUUUUUGGGUGCAUUGCAACCGAGUGUUGGAGCUUAAUGAGGAUUUAACGAAUGAUUUGAACUUUCCACUUGGAUAUUGCUUAGAAGUCAGGAAGGGAGCAGCCACUCUUUUUUAAUGGACUGCAGUGUGGAGGACUGCUAGACCUUCUCUCUUCUAGUGAUGUAAAUGUCUCGGAAAGGAAUUUUCGCCAUAAACUGGGAGCAGUAUACUUGGGAACUCCCUCUCAAUAUAGCUUUGUAAUAGAAGUCAUCCCUUAAGAAUCUAUCUGAACAAUCACCUUGGU